AGAGUUUGAUCCUGGCUCAGAACGUACGCUGGCGGCACGCCUAAUACAUGCAAGUCGAACGAAGUAGCAAUACUUAGUGGCAGACGGGUGAGUAACAUGUGGGUAUCUUCCCUUUGGUGAGGAAUAACACGAGGAAACUUGUGCUAAUACCUCAUAAGUCUUUACGGAGAAAGCUUUAUGCGCCAAUGGAUGAGCCCGCACUUGAUUAGUUUGUUGGUGGGGUAAUGGCCUACCAAGACAAUGAUCAAUAGCUGAUUUGAGAGGAUGAUCAGCCACAUUGGGACUGAGACACGGCCCAAACUCCUACGGGAGGCAGCAGUAGGGAAUCUUGCACAAUGGGGGAAACCCUGAUGCAGCGAUGCCGCGUGAGUGAAGAAGGCCCUUGGGUUGUAAAGCUCUUUCGUCGGGGAAGAAAAUGACUGUACCCGAAUAAGAAGGUCCGGCUAACUUCGUGCCAGCAGCCGCGGUAAUACGAAGGGACCUAGCGUAGUUCGGAAUUACUGGGCUUAAAGAGUUCGUAGGUGGUUAAAAAAGUUGGUGGUGAAAUCCCAGAGCUUAACUCUGGAACUGCCAUCAAAACUUUUUAGCUAGAGUAUGAUAGAGGAAAGCAGAAUUUCUAGUGUAGAGGUGAAAUUCGUAGAUAUUAGAAAGAAUACCGAUUGCGAAGGCAGCUUUCUGGAUCAUUACUGACACUGAGGAACGAAAGCAUGGGUAGCGAAGAGGAUUAGAUACCCUCGUAGUCCAUGCCGUAAACGAUGUGUGUUAGACGUUGGAAAUUUAUUUUCAGUGUCGCAGCGAAAGCGAUAAACACACCGCCUGGGGAGUACGACCGCAAGGUUAAAACUCAAAUGAAUUGACGGGGACCCGCACAAGUAGUGGAGCAUGUGGUUUAAUUCGAAGAUACGCGCAGAACCUUACCAACACUUGACAUGUUCGUCGCGACUCUAAGAGAUUAGAGUUUUCGGUUCGGCCGGACGAAACACAGGUGCUGCAUGGCUGUCGUCAGCUCGUGUCGUGAGAUGUUGGGUUAAGUCCCGCAACGAGCGCAACCCUUACUUUUAGUUGCCAUCAUUUAGUUGGGCACUCUGAAAGAACUGCCAGUGAUAAGCUGGAGGAAGGUGGGGAUGACGUCAAGUCCUCAUGGCCCUUACGUGUUGGGCUACACACGUGCUACAAUGGUAUCUACAACAGGAAGCAAGAUGGCAACAUUAAGCAAAUCCCAAAAAGAUACCUCAGUUCGGAUUGCACUCUGCAACUCGAGUGCAUGAAGCUGGAAUUACUAGUAAUCGUGGAUCAGCGUGCCACGGUGAAUACGUUCCCGGGUCUUGUACACACCGCCCGUCACACCAUGGGAGUUGGUUCUACCUUAAGGCAAGGUUUUAAACCCUUGACCACGGUAUAGUCAGCGACUGGGGUGAAGUCGUAACAAGGUAACC
rnacentral:rRNA from 2 species